AACGAACGCUGGCGGCAUGCCUAACACAUGCAAGUCGAACGAGACCUUCGGGUCUAGUGGCGCACGGGUGCGUAACGCGUGGGAACCUGCCCUUAGGUUCGGAAUAACUCCCCGAAAGGGGUGCUAAUACCGGAUAAUGUCUUCGGACCAAAGAUUUAUCGCCUUUGGAUGGACCCGCGUUGGAUUAGCUAGUUGGUAGGGUAAAAGCCUACCAAGGCGACGAUCCAUAGCUGGUCUGAGAGGAUGAUCAGCCACACUGGGACUGAGACACGGCCCAGACUCCUACGGGAGGCAGCCGUGGGGAAUAUUGGACAAUGGGCGAAAGCCUGAUCCAGCAAUGCCGCGUGAGCGAUGAAGGCCUUAGGGUUGUAAAGCUCUUUUACCCGGGAUGAUAAUGACAGUACCGGGAGAAUAAGCUCCGGCUAACUCCGUG
rnacentral:rRNA from 1 species